ACUAGCAAGUGUUGGUUUGGAAGUACUCGCCAUACUUCCAUUGGCAUUUAAAUUAAGCAUGGUGCUUAGGUUGUAUAGCCUUCCUUAAUCUGAUUAGACAUGGAGUCUAGUUUGGUUAUUGAACUAAAACAAAACUGCUUGAGUAGAUAUUGGUAUAUUUUGUCGGACUAACCCCUGCAGAAAAACUUUCGAUAUCGAUUUGGGAAGUCCUGAGAUAAACUCACAUCAGAGACGAAGAAAGUGACACAUGAAGUUUAACAAUUAGCACAAGAAGGACAUAGCUCAUUCAUCAUAAAGAGAUGAUCCAUGGAGGGUGCCACAAACACGAUGCACAACCGCUAAGAAAGGAAAGCUUCCACAAGAUGAUAUUGUACCAUCACUCUUCAAGCAAGGUAACAUCUUAAGGUACUUGACUAUCACUUUUAUAAGCUUCUCCUUGGUUCUGGCGUUCAUAUAAAUAAAAGAGACAAACGUGUAUGAUUUACAACUCUAGAUUAACCAACCCAACUGAUUCAACAUGUUUAGUCCUUUAAUCCUUGUUCUUAGUACUACCUCCAUGAUCCCACACUCCUAAUCAUAUGAGCUAAAAUGUUACACACUCAAUCUUUGAGAGAUAUAAAGAAAAAGACAUAUACAUAGAUAGAUUAUCUUUCCAUAAGGUUGAGCGAUCUGAUCUGACAAAUGUUAUAAGUGCUACACUCAUGAACUUAUCAUCCAUCAACUUGUCUUGCUCACUGUGCUUAAGGUUAGAGAAGAACAAAUACACUUUUGGUUUUGUUGGUGUUUUCCACCAACAGGGCCCAUGCAGUUGAUCUCUGCCUUGUCUCUAUGAGCAGGUACACUACGAGCACAAACACACUGAGCAAGAUACUGCUAACACCGCACUUUGAACUGCUGGGCAAACGAAGAACAUGGGUGACAUCGUAUUAAAAGGUGCAGACGUCAAGGUCCGCACCUGAAUCAAAUGACGCACCUGAAGAAUGAACACGAUGAGAAGUCUUGACAAGAAGACUUAAAACAUUGAACCCUCGCCGAAAGGUAAGAUUGGUAGUUAUCCAUAUUUAUCCUUUCUGCAUUCCCUUUUCCAUUUAAUUAUUUACUUUCCUUAAAUAGAUUAUUAGUUAAUCAUGCUAUCUUGAAAAGAAAAUAAAAAUGUUAAUAAAUACUAAGCCCCAUGUGAGUAUACGAGUGGCAUAAAACCCAUAAGUACCUUCACUGUGGUGGCAUAAAAAUAAAAUAAAUAUUUCUUUUCUACUUUAUAAAAUAAAAAUAUAAAAACAGGGAGUAAUAUUUAUUGAGGAAGCUCAACGUGAUGAAGGCUAGAUAUUUAUGCUAACAUUUAAUUAGUUCCACAAGCUUUGUUGUCUAUUUGAGCUCCACAGAAUUUAAGAAUCAAGAAGACUAGCAGACGGAGGACAUUCUAAUCGCUGUCAAAAUGCUGCUGACUUUCAAAUACACCUCUGUCACCUGCUAGCUACAUCAAGAGAAAUUACGUCAAAAUUCAGCUUGGGGGAGAGCACCCCCAUUUAUCUCGCUAAGUAUUAAUACCUAUCUUUAUACUUAUAUUAUAUUAGAAUAUUAAAAUACAUAAACUAUGAAAAACCAAAUAAAGAUUUUGUGCUUAUAUAUAUAUAUCUUUUGCUUAGUGUGUUUAAUAAAUGAAUAAAGUUUGCUAUGAAUCUUAAUAAUAAAACUCUAGCAUGGAUAUGAUGAAUAGUUGCUCUGCCUAAUUUGCAAAUUUAAAGUUCUCUCUCAAGUUUAGACAUAACUGUUAUAAUUUAAAGCUUCCUCUAGAUCUAAACUUGUGGGAUGAAAACUUGAUCUGAAAUCUAAGUUGUUAACGGAUAAGAUAUGGGAAGGUUGAGCUGCUGUUUAUCUGUUCCUAGAGAUGCUAGAAUUCUGGAGAAUUUUAUCUUUGAAAAAUCUUUAAAAUAUUGCAUGAUGAGUUCCUGUAUGAUGAAAGUUUAAAUUCCUACCACAGCCAUAUAUACAUGCUUGCUAGACUUUGAGCCACACAUUUAUUAUUUACUGCUUAUGAGCAUUGAGUGUGGUCAAGCUGUGUAGACCCUUAGGAGCUUGUCAUGUGGUUAAAUCAAGAUUCACUUGCACGUUCACUCCUAUAUAUGCUACUUCUAUUCCGGAAGUACCAACCACAUAUAUCCAUCCAUUUCCAUCUCCAGAAUCACCUAAAAAUAUUCUACUCCUAAUUCGGGAGAGAAUAGCCAAAAACAUCUGUGUUUUUCCCUUGUGAAAUAAAUGCUCAAGUUAUCUUGCUACUACCACUUGCUAUAUUAUCUUAAUAGAUGAGUGCUCUGAAAAAAAAGAAGAAAAAAAAAGAGAAAAAAAAUAAACGAGGAAAUAAAAAGGGGCAUGUGCCCGGAACCUCGAAAGAAAAGAAAAAGAGUGAGACGAGAGGUAAAAAUGGACAAGUGUCCGACAGUAGAAUUAGGGGUACAAGAUACCCACCUGAGUGGAAAGAAAAAGAAGAGCAUCUCAUUCUCCUCAUAAAGUUUCAAAAAGCAAGGAAGGUAUGUAUCCCCUCAUAAGAGCAAAAGUAGAAUUAGACUUUCACCAUUGUUAUCACCAUCAUCACUAUACACCAUUCAUUCGCCACACAUGCACAUCUUGAUUUGGCUUAUUGAUUUGUUUCUUUGGAUCCAUGGUUUGACUAUACAAUAAAUGUCUUGUAAGUAUGUAUAUUUUAUCUCCCACCAAUGAGCUCCAGAUAUUAAAGCCUUAUUAGAGUAGGGUGAGAGAGAAGGCAAUGUCACUAAGCGUUAUACCACAAAUACCACAUAUCUUGAGAGAAGGCAUAUACCAUCACUGCCUUGGUAAGGAUCCAGAAAUUCCACAAAAGAGAGAUUUAGAGAGUCAUACAAGGAAUCUCUGAGUUUUAUUUGAAAAUCUGCAAAAACUCCAGAGCUAUAGCUGAUCAAGAAUAAGAGACAUGGCACUUGGCUAGACUGUUCUAUCUUUUAACUACUCAAGACAGAAGUGACGGUUACAAGUCCCAUGGUGAAAGGUAAAGUAAGUAAGUUUUAGUUCUUGACAGUUUACUCUAACUCAGAGAUGAGAACUUAUUUAAAAAGCAUGUGUACCGUCAAAUUUUUAAGAUAUUGCAACAACUUAUGAUCCAUAGCUGGGUCUAUCCUUGCUCAGGGACGAGCAAGAGGUAAGCUUGGGGGAGUUUGUUGACGGUCCUUAAGUAUCAAAUUUAACUAUCAAAUAAACAAAGAAAAGGAUCCAAAUGAAAUCAACAUCUAGACUUAGGGUUUUAUCUGACAGAAUUCCACGAGUUUUGGUGUUUGUCUAUUUCUGCAGGGGGUUAUCAGGAAAUAAGGAAGAAAGGCCCACACGUCGGGAUUACAUAGAGAUAUCAACGUGCCGUGCAAUUAUCUUACAUCUAGAAGACUCCAGAAGUCACGGGAAGGAAGCGGAGACCGAACAGGGCCAGAGACAGGGCGCCCGCUCAAUCUCGCGGAUUAUGCUCCACUGACCUAAAGGAUCAAGAAUAAUCGUUCAACAAUGUCGGUUUGAUCUGACGGCCCAGGUUCACUUGAUGGGACUAUAAAACCAGACCCCCUGGCCCCUGGAGGAGGCACCCCUUGAUCAUUAUUCAUUAUUCAUAGACAGAGCAAAAGCUAGGGUUUAGAGAUGAGAGCUCUCCUCUCUUCUCUAAACUAGAGUAGAUCU
rnacentral:lncRNA from 1 species